UUUUUUUUUUGGUUAUGGCAUCUAGUUCAAUUUACAUGAUAGACACAAAUUGUAUUUUAUUCAAGAUGAGUUUAAUUUAAUUAUUUUCACAUAACAGAAAGAUCUCAAAGUGAUUGUUUGGAAGAUAUCAUAAACCGUUGGACUAUCCCUAUUUUCCGCCUCACAUUAUUGUCAAGAAAAUCAUUGGCUCAUUCAUGCUAGGCUUUUCUUGUUUGUUUAAUUUGUUCGUGAACCUUUAUUCGAUGAUAAAAUAAUUAUUUUUUAAAUUCAGCAUUGACCUAACGGUCAAAGGGCAUAAGUGAACCAAAAAGGUAGACAUAGGGGUAUUUUUAGCCCAAUGGGUGGAUGAAGGGUAUUUUUAGACUUUUUUCAAUAGUUCGGGGGCAUUUUUUACCCUUUUUAGUUUCUUAAUUCAUCACCUUUUAAACUGUAAAAAUGUCUAGAGAGUUUUGCUAAGCUGUAUAAAAGUACGUAUGUUAUUUCAUUCUACUUCUAUUAAUGACUUUUAUAUGACAUUUAAAAAAAAUUAGCGAACCGUACCAAUACCGAAGAGAAACCGACAUGAUUGGGACGACUUCAAAAAAUCCAAUUUUGGUUAUACAUAAUAGAAUAACCGAAAAAUUGGAAUGAUACAAAAUUUUAUAAAAUAAUCGGUCGAACUGACCCCUGACCCUCCUACUUCUAAGUACUCUGAAACUACCCCCACCCACCCACACAUAUUAUAUUAUAUUCAAUGCAAGGAUAAAUCAGAUUUUAUUUUUGUAUCAAUAGCAGAAAUCAUAUUUCAAUGUUANNNNNNNNNNNNNNNNNNNNNNNNNCCAUUUUUUAGUUUCUUUCGUUAAAACUAAUUUUAAAACUGAGCAGCAAUGCCGAAAAGAAACUGUCAACUGAAUAUUUUAUUCCAGCUUAACUUUAAUUGAUUGAAAAAAAGAAAUAGGGGGUAAAAUAAAGAGAAAAAGACAGUUAGUAAUGGCAUAGAGUUUAAAGUUGAAGAAGAGUAAGGCGCAUGCACAAAGACCGGAAGUUGGGGGGGUGAAGUACCUUCCUGGGACAGCCUGCAUGUGAAAAGGUCGGACUCUGGGGAAACAAAAGCAAAAGAUGUUAGCACCUCCCAACGCAUUUUGUAGCUAUGGCUUAAUUUCCCCAUUUUUUAAUUAAGAAAGAACUAGCCACAUGUACUAUACAUUAUUAAUAAGAAAUUAAAAAAGGAAGAUUCCAUGCAUGGUGCAUCUCUCGUACGUACUAGUAAUAUUAUAUUAUACUCCGUUCAAUUAGAAAAAUGUGUAGCCAGCCUUUUCAGUAUCCAGUGAUUAGCCACUUGCUGGAUCUUGAUUUUCCCAGAAAGUAGGUAGUAAUUUUUCAAGAAAUGGAAGUAGUUUUCAGGGAAGGGAGGUCAUUAGAGGAAACUCCAACAUGGUCUGUGGCAACAGUUACUACUGUUAUGGUAUUUGUUUGCCUUUUUGUCCAACGCUCCAUUUACCGAUUUGGAAGGGUCAGUACUAGCUACUCAAUCACUCAACUUUAUUAAGCACAGAAUGGACAGUCUUUUCUUAAUAAGUUGUGGGUUUGUGUUUAUACAUAUGCAGUGGUUGAAGAAGACCAGAAGGAAAGCUCUUUUUGCUUCUGUCGAGAAGAUAAAGGAAGGUUAGCAAUUGCUGCUUCUUUAACUUUUAGGAACAACUUACGUUGCGACGAUUUGUUAGAUUUUGACUUCUUUUCUUAACCUCUACUUAGAAAUGAACAAACAGAUCCUUGCUUGCAAUUUCAUAUAAUGCUCAAUUAUGAUGCUUCUCUUCUCAAGAUCUUUUAUGAUCUUUUUCAUUUAUCUUUUUUACUUGAAGGGCUAUAAGUUGUCAAAUUGUGUGACUGACUCAUCUAAAAGGUUAAGUUGUUAUAGAUUGCACACAUUUAUUUAUUUAAUUGUAUCUUCAACAUUUAUCAUUUGUUUCAAUUGAUUAUUAUUGGGACAGAGCUGAUGCUGCUUGGGCUUAUUUCUUUGUUGUUGGGACAAUGCGCAAGGCAGAUUUCUCAAAUUUGUGUGGAUUCAUCCCUUUUCAGUAGUAAAUUCUACCUUUGUUCUCAAGAAGAUUAUGACAGUGCGAGUGAGACAAUCCAUUUGUCGCGCUCCUCCAUUUUCUCAAAUGAUACUGAUAUUCCUCCCAAGGGAAUUUAUCAACCAUCACAUCAAUGUGGUGAGGUAAGUUGUUUUCUUGAUUCGUAUUGCACACGAAUAUAUGAUGCUUUCUGCUACUGUUCUAAAGACAAUCUUUUGUAACUAACAUCAGGGACGCGAACCUUUUGUCUCAUAUGAAGGUCUUGAACAGCUCCACCGCUUCUUGUUUGUUCUUGGUAUCACCCAUGUCCUGUACAGUUGUAUUGUUGUGGGCUUGGCCAUGAGUAAGGUAGAGUUCCCAUAUCAAGCUUUUAUAGGCAGAGUCCUUAUGCAACCAACAGUAGUGUACAUAGGAUUUUGUCGCCUCAUUAUCACAAUUCGACUUUGUAUGUGAGUUUGGGUUUAGGGCGGUAGAUACUUCUUGUAUCGAAUUGAUGUUUUUACUUUGCAUUAUUCUCAAAUAGUGUCAGUCUAUACAUAUAAAUAUAUACAUGUUGUUUUGAAAAGAAAGUAGUAUUAUUUACUAUAUAUUUUGUGAAGUUAUUUGUCUAAGUGAUGUCGGAUGAUACCCCUAUAUACAGGGUUCAUGCUCUUCUUUGUUUGUGCUUUUGAAAUUAAGGCAUGCAGGAUAAUUAUUCUCUCCUGAUGAAUUUGAUUGUAGAUCUACAGUUGGAGGAAGUGGGAAAACCAAGUGAGCUCUGGGACAGAGAACAGCUUACAAGGUACGUGGAAUUGAAGAUAAUAAACUACGUGCACACAAUAUAAAUUCACCCUCUUUCUGAAUGAGCGAAAAAUAUAAGUUAAUACUUGCACAAAAUACGAAUUUUAAGGAAACUUAAUAUGGAUAGUUCAACAUAUAUGCAAUUUGAUUGCGCGAAUUGUCUUAAAUAUUAAACAUGUGCUCUGAUAUUUUAGCAUAGAGCUGAGCUUCUAAGUAGUGUCUCUACAUAUCAUUCUUGUAUUAUCUUUUUCUGUUAUUUUUAGUGCCAAAGAAUAAGGAGAUGAGGCGACAAUCCACCUUCGCUCUGCAUCAUGCUUCUCAUCCAUGGAGUAGGAGUCGAAUUCUUAUAUGGAUGGUAAUAGCUCUAGCCAUAUUGCAACAACAUUAUACACUCGUUUGUAAAGUUUGAGGAGGAUCUUGAUUUUUAACACAAGGAGGGGAAAUGAUUGUCACCGCAUAGGUUAAUGAACUAUAAAUGGAUUUGGACACCGGCCACUAGACUUCUUUUCAAGUCGCCGAAAUAUUAUCUUCUUGUCAAAAUUUUCAAUUUGUAUUAGACUAAACUAUUGUUACAGUCAAUUGUUCCCUUCACCCCUCUUCAAUUGGUCCAUUGAUUUCUUAAGACAGAGACUUGUCAGCCUCCCUUGCAAACAACAAAUUCCCAUACAUUUUGUCUUGAAUAUUAUUUUAGCAAUUUGUUUUUAGAUUAGCUCUACAUAUAUGUAUUUGACAUACAUUUGUUUUGUAAUCUUGCAGCUUUGCUUUCUAAGGCAGUUCAGGACUUCAAUUCAAAAGUCAGAUUACUUGGCACUGAGAUUGGGCUUUAUCACUGUAGGUAUUCAGUUUCUUUUGGUACUUCAUUCCUUUAGAUUAUUCUCCUUAUAAAUAUCUCAGUUCCCCUGUGUAUGUGGAGGGAAGGGAAGAGGCAAAAUGCUUAUUAUCCUUUACAUGGUUAAAAUUCGUCGAACAUCACCCUCAACGUGCUUAAGCAGCUGCAUUCGAAUUGCCACGUUUAUCCUUUUACGAAAACUUUAAGCAAAUCUUGAAAAUGCUGUUGAUGCUAAGUGAUUAAUCUCUGAACACUAAAUUGAAUGCUCUAAUUCUGUUUGUUCUUUAAGUUCAGUAUCCUUGUACUAUUUUGUUGCUUGGAGGUUUUUGUGGAAAAGGUUGUUCUAUUUGUUUGGAAUACCAACUUAAUAUACUAUAACUAGUGAAUAUGCGCGAUUAUAAAAGAAUAUCAAUCUAUGAAAUGAUAAGCAAUCCAGUAUCUUCGAUAUUGAAAAACAAAAUACUCAUAAGCAGCAUACCUUUCGGUUAAUUCAGGCAUAAUAAAUAUUACUAAUAUUUUGAUUGUCAUAAGAAAGUCUUCUUGGGCAUGGGAUCGAUAUUUGGAUGAACAGUACGAUGUGCAACACUAACAAUAUAAUAGCAAAAAGCUUUUUCGGUUCAUCACUCUUCUUCAUAGUUAUUAGCAUAUGCCUUGGAAUAAUUUUGUCCUUGUUAUCAUUAGCCGCAUUCUUAGUUAAUUUUAAUUUCUAUAACCAUUUAUUUCAAAUUAAGUUCACUUAACCCAUUUUAGAAAACUGUAUCCAUAUUAGUAUUUGCGAAUUUCACCUCUAACACAAGCCAAACUACUAAGGUUUAAUUUUUUUUCUCUAAAGUGACUAUGUCUCGACCAAAUAUACAUCCUGACGUAAUGACGUUAUUUCUCAAAAACUAUAAUCAAACCUUCUCUUAUGUAGAUGUUAGUGAAAUAAUGGAAAUGAAGCAAUAAUCAACUAAUUUCUAUACUAUUGAGGCAAUAUUCUUUAUCAUUUCUAUCUUUGACAACUUAUUAUAUCCCCAGUAACCACCAACCAAACUAAUUCCUGUCUAAGAGAAUGGACGAAGAAGGAAUCAAAGCCAAGGGCAUAUAAACAAUCAGUAUGAAGCAAACUUAAUUUCCAUCUAAAUUAAGGUACCUUACAUUAAGCAAAAUCUGUCGAGAUAUUUUUCAUUUUUCGAAGAUGAACUAUCAAGGGAAAAAAAUUAUUCUCAAGUUACUUUAAAUUUCAUCUCAAAACUAUAUAUGUAACUCCACCUCAUUUCAUGAUUUCUAACAUGACAAAAUAGUUUGAUGUUUUUAUAUUAGCUAAUUCCCAAAGACAAUUCCCAUUUCAUUUAAACCCAAAAAGCAAACAGAAUUGAAGAAAAGAGAAAUUAAAAAAAUCGGUAAAUAAUUUAACCUCACUAAACUUGGGAAUAUUUUCUCAUGUCCAUUUUGUUCACAAGUACUUCACCAAUCUAAUAGAUUAGUUGAAACACACUAGAAUUAAAAUUAAAAUCAAUUUAGGCAGAAAUAAGUAAUCAUUUCCAUUUUCUUCUCUAACAAAAGUGAACGAAAUAAAAUUAAAUUUAUAUAUUUUUUAGACUCCGAAACAAAUUGGUCAAAACCUACUUGAGGAAGAAAAUAGAAAAAUUGCCGCCACCCCUCUCCCCCAAAUAGAUUCAUAGAACCAAACAAAUUAUCUACUCAAGGGAGAAAUCAGAAUUUUGCAAACCCACAGACAAAGAUAAGUAACCAAACAAAAAGAGAAUUUCUCAGAAAAUAAAAGAAAAAAGACAAAUACAUAUUCUGAGCACAUGACCUCUCAUAAAACAUACUCCUAUAGUCCUACUACACAGACAUGAAGAGGAUUACCUUGAAUUCAAGUUACCGCUCAACAUAGAAGUGCUUGACCGCACAGUUAGUCUUCCCAAAUCCCAGCCACAGUUAAGCUUCUGUAGAAAGAGACGUUUUCCUCCUAUGUAACCAGCUUAAUUUGGUUGUCUGCAAACCGGAUAGGCUUCUGCUAGUUGUUAAUUAGAUGCGACUCAUGAGAGACCUCCUUGAUUUCUUCUUCUUACCUUUUUCCUCCUCAACAGUCUAAAAAUCACCCUUUUACGGUUUCUUGUAUGCAUCAUCUUCACAGAUUUACGACCAACACUUGAGAGGAAGUUAACACCUAGAUCACCAUCUUAGGCUAACUGGCACGUAUAAUAUUAAUCCUAAUCCUCCAAAAAGAGAGAGAAGAUAAGUGAAUUUGGUGCUUGUCAUAGCAAGUUAUCUUGCCGCUAAUUUGUUGUGCCGAGGGAAAGGUAUUUAGCAGGAAAAGGUGCUAUCAUAAUAAUAAAAGUGUCCUUGAAGUUUUUUCUUCUUUUAAAGUAACACAUUAGUAGAAGAAACGGUACAUGUAACCGUUACUGCUUUAAAGGAAAACAAAAAGAUUGCAUUAUAAGAAUUGGAAAGUGUCGUUUCAUUUUUUAACAGUUACUCCUACUACUUUUGGGCUAUUAAAAAUGAGAUGAGGUAAAUGGAGAAAUAAAGGGAAAGAAGUCAAAUAAAGGAGAAAAAAGAUAAUUAGCUUUCUUGGCCAAAGAGAGGUGCCAAGUCAGCACUCUUUUUCCCUCCUUUAUAUAUAUAGAUAUAUAUAUAGAUAUAGAUUAAUGAUAUUGAGAGAAGAGGACACAUUUACAGCUGUUUUAUUAUUUAUUCACAACAAGAAGCAGUAAUGGCUGUUACUCUCAAAAUUCAAUUGCAUCAGACUAUUUAUCUGCAUUGCCUCAUUCUUGCUUCUAUAACAUGCAGAAUCACAAGCUUCCACUUACUUACAAUUUCCAUAAGUACAUGGUUCGUAGCAUGGAAGAUGAAUUUUAUGAAAUUGUAGGGAUCAGGUAUGUUUUUGUUAUUUGUUUAGAUCAUUUUAGUUCACAAUAGGUGGGAGGAUAUUUUGAGUCAGUAAUUAUGACACUUCAUCUUAUAACAUCUAAUUAAAAGUCCUACCUGAGGGUAUGUUGACGUAUAUUAUAAAUGUUUCUAGGUGUUUUGGGCAAAUUUUUGCAAACGUAUAUAUGUUCUAAGUUGUUGGGAUCAAAGAAAGAGAAGAGGAAAUCUCAUCGAUGUAGUUCUAUUGCUAUUUGAUGCUAGCUUCUUCUAGAAAUGGGUGUUUAAUUAGAAUAGUUGUGCUGACUUUGCAGUUGGCUACUUUGGAGUUAUGCCAUCAUAUGCAUCUUCAUCAAUAUUCAUGGUAAUUAAAUUUUCUAAUGUGAAAACAUCAUUUUUGGCUCGUUCAAGUUUCAGAGUGAUGUUUCAUAUAUAAUGCAGGUCUUGAUAUCUACUUCUGGCUUUCUUUUGUUCCUGCCAUUGUAAGUCCGCCUACCUUCUUUGGUCCGUUACCUAAUUGAAAUAUGAAAUGAUCUACUAUAUAUUUUCUUGUGCCAAAGCUUGUGAUGGUGGUUGGAACAAAACUACAGCAUGUAGUCUCUGUGUUGGCACUUGAAAUUGCAGAGCCUAAGGAUCCACUAAUUAUUGGAACACAAGUAAAGCCACGCGAUGAAUUGUUUUGGUUUGGGAAACCGAAGAUACUAUUACGGUUAAUACAGUUCAUAUCAUUUCAGGUCAAUAGCUCUUAUACUCGAUUCACUGUUCAAUAUUCAUUUCAUGCAAAACAAAUGAAUCCAUCUUUUUUGUGUGUGUACGCAGAAUGCUUUUGAAAUGGCAACAUUUAUCUGGUCCUUGGUGAGAUUCAUUGCCUUUCUUCUUGUUUAAGAUUAAUACAUUGUCUUCUGCUAAUUAAAAAUGAAUGAAUGUGGAGUGGAUAAUCAGUAUGAAAGGAAUUUAUGCACAUCUACAUAUGACGAGACAACAACACAUCCCUUGAACCAAAGUCGGACAUUUAAUGGUUCAAUCAUAGUAACCUUAAAUUAGUUAUUUAAUAAGACUGGAUUCCCUUCAGGUAGUUGAGGAUUCUUCCCCUAUGCUAUCAUUUUUUAUCAAUUUUUCAUUUUCUUAAUGCUUUAGAAAUGAAAACAAACAGGUCACUUCUCUCUCUCUCUCUAUUUGGUUGAAUUCUUUUUAUUUUUAUCUGAGAAAAUUACAAGUUCAGUUUGCACACUCUCUUCAACAUAAUAUGCUCAAGUGAUUUAUUGACAUGAAAAUAAUGUCAGAAAACUAAUAUUUGCACUUUUUGGAGGGCUACCUACUCAUACAAUGCAAGCUGUUGUUAUUAUGAAACCAUGUAUUUGUAUUGGCUUAGAAGUUAUUUUUAAUUUCUGUGGAGAAGAAUAUUGAUGAUUCAUUUCAUAACAGUAUUAAUCGAAUUGUGCAGUGGGGUUUCGAGCAACGGGCGUGCUUUAUGAAGAACCAUGCGAUGGUUGUUAUCAGAUUGAUUUCAGGGUAUGUAAAUUAAUAUACACUUUUACCCCCUUUCACUUAUCGUUAUAUGAGCUGUUUGCACGUAGAUCUCAAUUCUCACCACAGUAGCGUCUAAUCUCACUUCUCCGUCAUUCUUCCUAUGGGGUAAACAUGCAGUGCAAAAGAUACUUGAAUAAAGAUUGUGACCCUUUUGAAACAUGUACGUACUGAAAAAAUUGGAUCCUUAGAAGAUGUUUUUGGUACCUAGAAGCUGCACUCAUUGAACAUUAAAAUAGAAUCCGUAAUAUAUCUUUUAUAACAUGUAGUGUAUGAUGAAUAUUAGUAGACCUAUUUGGUACUCAAAAACCGCACUCUUUGAACAGGGUUCUUGUGCAGUUCUGGUGUAGCCGCAGCACUGUUCCUUUAAACGUAAUUAUCUCACAGGUGAUUCUAUUUCUCUAUUCUUAUAUUAUUGAAAUGUCAACAGUCCACUAAACUAGUCUUAGGCUAAUGACAAUUGUUUUGAUUAUAGAUGGGUUCGCGGUGUGGAAAGGCUCUCGUUGCAGAAAGUGUUCGAGAAUCACUUCACAGUUGGUGUAAGAGAGUAAAGGACAAGUCUAAACGAGAUGCUGCUUUACGCUCUAUCACUACAAGAUCAACGUGUUCCCUAGGAUCAACAAUUGAUGAGAUAGCAACAGUAACUUUAUCUCCAUGUUCUUCUAGAGGCUCAUUUCACCACCUAGAUGAGAAUGUCCUGUCAAAUGAUCAGCAAGAAGAUUGCAUUGUUGAAACCUCAUAUGAACUUUCCUUCAGAAACGUUAACAGGGAAUAUUCAUCGGAACAUCUGGCCAAUGAUACAGAGGAGAAUGCGGAUAAUGAGAGGCAUUCAUCUGAACCUCUGGUUACUGAUAUAGAGGAGGCAGGCAAGCCAGAUACUCUCUUUGAUCUGUUUCAAAAGACAUGAAUUUUUCAAUCUGGCAAUUCCAUACUCAGACACUAGACACAAAUAUUUAUUGCUGCCUUUGCUAUCUGGCAAUGGAGAACACUUCUCUAGGUUUAAGGUAGAUUAGGAAUGAAACAGUCUUGAUGAAUAUACGCCCAAUUUUACAUGGAAAUUUGUUCAGUUGGAUCUUUUCAUCUUUGCUCGCAGCAAUUGCGCCCUCUCAUGAGAACCAAUAAUCGCAUCAAAGACCACUCUAACUGGCUAAUCGUAAAUAGCCCUAGGGUGAUGUAACAAAGUAUUAUCUUGGACCUUAAUCAAGGUAAUUUUCUAAUCUCGCAAAAUGUGACAAGAUAAGAUAAGAUAGACCCAAUUUUCUCUUGGUUGGACAUGGAUUACAUUUUGCAUCUAUGCCAAAAAAAAUUUAACUAGACAAAUUUAGGCAAACCACUUGGCCACUAUUAUUAAACCAUAUCCCAUUUCAUUGGUGUACAAAUUUGAUUCCUAAGGUGAAUUUGGGACAAGUUAAAUCUACAUGAAAAUUAACACAUCAUCAGCAUCUAAAAACAGGGAAUAAGGAGAUGAAAGUUGAUAUACUAAGCAAAUCAAAGUCAUUGACUUGAAGUUGCAACAUUGCAUCUUUUAUGAUAACAAAAGAGUUACAUAUGAAAUUAAAUGCUCAUCAAACAGAUUAAAGUGUUUUUUGAAAUAAUGAGAGGGGCUUAGCCAGUGAGCUCCUCCUCCUUAUGGGUCUCAAUAGUAACAUCAGACUGUGGGUAAGCAACACAGGUUAGCACAAAUCCAUCAGCCAUUUGGUCAUCAUCAAGAAAGUUUCCAUCAGACUGAUCAACAUUUCCACCUGUAACUUUUCCAGCACAAGAAGAGCAAGAACCAGCUCUGCAACUGUAAGGAAGCUCAUGUCCCUCUUCCUCAGCUUGGUCAAGAAUGUAAACAUCAUCUGGACAAUCAAACUCAACUGUUCCCUCUGGUGUAAUAAGCU
rnacentral:lncRNA from 1 species